UGCUUGCUAGUGGCAUCUAGAAAACACACAGAAACCUCUCAUGCUGUUUGAUGCAAGGCACUUUUUAUAACGUUAUAUAGUCAGUGUGUUUGGCUAGUUCAGAUCACUACCUUGGCUUAGUCAGUGUCUAGGUCAGAUCACUACCGUGGCUAGGUCAGAUCACUACCGUGGCUUAGUCAGUGUCUAGGUCAGAUUACUACCUAGGCUUAGUCAGUGUCUAGGUCAGAUCACUACCGUGGCUUAGUCAGUGUCUAGGUCAGAUCACUACCGUGGCUUAGUCAGUGUCUAGGUCAGAUCACUACCGUGGCUUAGUCAGUGUCUAGGUCAGAUCACUACCGUGGCUUAGUCAGUGUCUAGGUCAGAUCACUACCGUGGCUUAGUCAGUGUCUAGGUCAGAUCACUACCGUGGCUUAGUCAGUGUCUAGGUCAGAUCACUACCGUGGCUUAGUCAGUGUCUAGGUCAGAUCACUACCGUGGCUUAGUCAGUGGCUAGGUCAGAUCACUACCGUAGCUAGGUCAGAUCACUACCUUGGCUUAGUCAGUGUCUAGGUCAGAUCACUACCGUGGCUUAGUCAGUGUCUAGGUCAGAUCACUACCGUGGCUUAGUCAGUGUCUAGGUCAGAUCACUACCGUGGCUUAGUCAGUGUCUAGGUCAGAUCACUACCGUGGCUUAGUCAGUGUCUAGGUCAGAUCACUACCGUGGCUUAGUCAGUGUCUAGGUCAGAUCACUACCGUGGCUUAGUCAGUGUCUAGGUCAGAUCACUACCGUGGCUUAGUCAGUGUCUAGGUCAGAUCACUACCGUGGCUUAGUCAGUGGCUAGGUCAGAUCACUACCUUGGCUUAGUCAGUGGCUAGGUCAGAUCACUACCGUAGCUAGGUCAGAUCACUACAGUGGCUUAGUCAGUGUCUAGGUCAGAUCACUACCGUGGCUUAGUGUCUAGGUCAGAUCACUACCGUGGUUUUUAGUCAGUGUCUAGGUCAGAUCACUACCGUGGCUAGGUCAGAUCACUACCGUGGCUCUUAGUCAGUGUCUAGGUCAGAUCACUACCGUGGCUUAGUCAGUGUCUAGGUCAGAUCACUACCGUGGCUUAGUCAGUGUCUAGGUCAGAUCACUACCGUGGCUUAGUCAGUGUCUAGGUCAGAUCACUACCGUGGCUUAGUCAGUGUCUAGGUCAGAUCACUACCGUGGCUUAGUCAGUGUCUAGGUCAGAUCACUACCGUGGCUCUUAGUCAGUGUCUAGGUCAGAUCACGAGAUCAUCAUGGUCGGAAUAAGAAAAAGGCUUUGUUGUUAGAACCGAUGAGCCAGUAAGUACAUAUGCUAAAUGUCUUCAUUAAUGGGGGUUAAUUGAUUGAAAUAGCUUGUUGUGGUUUCUGGUGCCUCUGUUCUUUCUACCACGUAAAUGGGUAAACUCAUCCCUGG